ensembl:snRNA U7 U7 small nuclear RNA
UAGUGGGGCAGCUCUUUCAGGAAUUUGUUUAGCAGGUUUUUCAGUUCUUUCUGGAAGACCCCC